rnacentral:lncRNA from 10 species
GAAAAUUUCAAAAAUCAAAUUAGCACCAUAAUCUUAUGUGUAAUUAAUAGUUGUAUUGGCAUACAACCCUUGAAAUGAAGCAAUGUCCAACAAGUAAAAUUUCCCAUCAUUUUUCUAUGAUGCAAAAUAUUACUUCGAGUCAAACAGUAUUCUCUUGUUUGCUUCAUGUUUGGAAGAACCUGUGUCUUCCAAACAUGCUUCCUUGGCACAUGAGUGCAUGCAUGGAACUUGAGGAGACAAACACGGAAGUGGAUGGACAAAGCAACUACUCACUAGAUGAAUCACAUCUGAAAUGACCACUUCCAAAGCCUAAGCACUGGCACAACAGUUUAAAGCCUGAUUCAGACAUUCGUUCCCACUCAUCUCCAACGGCAUAAUGGGAAACUGUGUAGGGGUCAAAGCACGAGUCAUCCGUAGGUUGGUUCAAGCCUUCGUUGACUAUGAAGAAAAGGAAGAAAAAGCAAAAAGAGACAUCUUAUUAAUCGAUUUGGACCAUAAGAAGAAAAUCGAAUGACUGUAUACAAUGACUUAAUCUAAAACAAGAAUUCCAGGAGGAUUAAGAGGCAUUCAUCUGUUCUAUCAAGGCAUUAACUGCUCUAAAAAACCAUGGUUAGAUGUGACACCUGUCACAGGCACCCGACAGGAAGCCCAUCUUUUAUUUUUCCCUUGCUUCUAAGAUAAUUGCCAUUUCUGUUGAAACUACUUCAUAGAACAUGGAACAGAUCUUGAGGCAAUUGAAGCUAGUGGAGAACUUUAGUGGGAUGCAAAGACUAAUGAUGCCUCUCCAUUGGUACCUGAGUGACCUUGGGCCAGCUAUUUAAUACCACUCUGCC